rnacentral:misc_RNA from 1 species
CCCAAGAACACACACACACAACAACUAACGCACCGUACUUUUUUUUUUCGUGCCGCGGUGCCGUUGCUGCGGUCUGUUGCAAACAAGAUGGAGGAGGGGUUCAUCGGGGCGCGCAGGAGGAGCUGCACCGGCUACCAGCGGCUGCGGGCACCGCCGCCGACGACUCCGGGCAGAGGCACCUGCAGGCUCGGACGGCGAGCGGUCCUCGGCUCGGGAGGCUGGAGGUUCGUCCGGCUACGCCGCCGCCGCCGCCGCCGUGCCAGCGCGCCGCGGUGGUCGUCGCCGCUGCAGCUGCUCAGCCGGAUCCUCGACACGUACAUCACCUCCAUGCUGUCGCAGCCACCACCGAACAUCUUGAAGCCACUGAACAUGCCGCCGCCGAAGCUGCGCCGUGAUGCUUCACCGGGGACGGGGUCGUCGAGACGCCGCGAUGCAGGCGGGAGCGGGAGAGGCGUCUUGCUCAACAUCUGCGUGGCCGAGGUGCUCCUACGGCGGACCACGUCGGAGGUCAGGCGGUCGCCGUUGCAGCCAACGAAGGACGCGCGGCGCCGCAGCGUCCGUGCAUAGAGACCUCCCUACCUCGCUCGUUCCAGCGAAGCGACGUUUCUGCUUACAGGGUCGAAUGUUUUUCCUCUGCAAUCAGAUGCCAAGCCACGAUGUUUCAGAUAGUUGCAAGUGUUCGAGAUAGCUAUCUGAUCUUACGAAACCACGACAGAUAUGUUUUCUGUCUCUUGUACCAUUAGAUUUAGUCCUACAUCAUCCAAAACUUGGAAAGAGAGCAAAGUAAAGCUGGGAGAACGCAUAGCAACCUCUUACGAUGUCGUCCUUCAAGAAAUACAAGAUAAACAAAUUCUAAC